AGGACGAACGCUGGCGGCGUGCUUAACACAUGCAAGUCGAGCGGUAAGGCCUUUCGGGGUACACGAGCGGCGAACGGGUGAGUAACACGUGGGUGAUCUGCCCUGCACUCUGGGAUAAGCCUGGGAAACUGGGUCUAAUACCGGAUAUGACCUGCUCUCGCAUGGGGGUGGGUGGAAAGAUUUAUCGGUGCAGGAUGGGCCCGCGGCCUAUCAGCUUGUUGGUGGGGUAAUGGCCUACCAAGGCGACGACGGGUAGCCGACCUGAGAGGGUGACCGGCCACGACUGGGACUGAGACACGGCCCAGACUCCUACGGGAGGCAGCAGUGGGGAAUAUUGCACAAUGGGCGAAAGCCUGAUGGCAGCGACGCCGCGUGAGGAUGAAGGCCUUCGGGUUGUAAACCUCUUUCAGCAGGACGAAGCGCAAGUGACGGUACCUGCAGAAGAAGCAACCGGCUAACUACGUGCCAGCCAGCCGC
rnacentral:rRNA from 1 species